UGGGGAAUUUUGGACAAUGGGCGAAAGCCUGAUCCAGCAAUGCCGCGUGUGUGAAGAAGGCCUUCGGGUUGUAAAGCACUUUUGUCCGGAAAGAAAUCCUUGGCUCUAAUACAGUCGGGGGAUGACGGUACCGGAAGAAUAAGCACCGGCUAACUACGUGCCAGCAGCCGCGGUAAUACGUAGGGUGCAAGCGUUAAUCGGAAUUACUGGGCGUAAAGCGUGCGCAGGCGGUUUUGUAAGACGGAUGUGAAAUCCCCGGGCUUAACCUGGGAACUGCAUUCGUGACUGCAAGGCUAGAGUAUGGCAGAGGGGGGUAGAAUUCCACGUGUAGCAGUGAAAUGCGUAGAGAUGUGGAGGAAUACCGAUGGCGAAGGCAGCCCCCUGGGCCAAUACUGACGCUCAUGCACGAAAGCGUGGGGAGCAAACAGGAUUNGAUACCCUGGUAGUCCACGCCCUAAACGAUGUCAACUAGUUGUUGGGGAUUCAUUUCCUUAGUAACGUAGCUAACGCGUGAAGUUGACCGCCUGGGGAGUACGGUCGCAAGAUUAAAACUCAAAGGAAUUGACGGGGUCAUAGCUGUUUCC
rnacentral:rRNA from 1 species